rnacentral:rRNA from 1 species
GACGUAGGGCGCGAGCGUUGUCCGGAUUUAUUGGGCGUAAAGAGCGUGUAGGCGGCCUGACAAGUCUGCUGUGAAAACUCGAGGCUCAACCUCGAGAUGUCGGCGGAAACUGUCUGGCUAGAGUCCGGAAGAGGAGAGUGGAAUUCCUGGUGUAGCGGUGAAAUGCGCAGAUAUCAGGAAGAACACCUAUGGCGAAGGCAGCUCUCUGGGACGGUACUGACGCUGAGACGCGAAAGCGUGGGGAGCGAGCAGG